rnacentral:lncRNA from 1 species
AUGAACAGGACCACGGCCAUCUUCCCCAGAGCUGUGGAACGUCCUGAACCCAGCACCAGCAAAUUGAACUCGGGACCUUGUGCUUGUGAGGCAGCCGUGGAGCCACUGAGCUACAUCCCCAGUGGCCAUAGGUUUUUAACUGAGAAAAUACUCCCUCUCUUGUAUGAAUAUGUAAGUUCAAAGGAAAUUCUGCAAAAUGGAAAGGUUCCUAAAUUCUUUUUUUAAUAUUAAGUUGUGUAAGCAUUUUAGGACAAUAUUUUCACGGGCUCUGUCUUUCCACCUCUGUUCAAAUCACCUUUGUUCAAUAAUAUUCCUAUACGCCAAAACUUUCAAGUUGUCU